UUUUAUCACAAGAAUUCAAAACCAACCCUACCUUCCCCAAGAUAUACGUGCGACAGUAUGCCCCCUCUUGGUCGAAGCUUCUUGCUCUUAGUGAUCAACCCUUGUGCCUAGCAUAUUUUAAUCUUCUGGACGUGAUUGACCCAAAGUUGCAUUAACAAGUUAAACACUCUACCGAGCAAAACCAAGGUCGUUAGGUACAUGGAGCUUGCACAUGGAGGAGCUGGUCGUUGUGGGCUUGGAUCGUGAUUGUUUCUGAUAACUUACUUAUGUUUUGGGAACACCUUUCAUAUGGAUUUGGUUUGGU
rnacentral:lncRNA from 1 species